GUCUAUGAAACUCUUCAAUUCUGCAAUUUUCUCCUGUAGGAUCUUGACCCAGGCUGCACGCAAAACAUCUAGUAGCUCUCCACGGGACACUGGUUUUCUGGAACUUCUUCUCACUGCUCGAGUAAGUAUGGCCCAGACAUGCUC